GAGGGUAUAGCUCAGUGGCAGAGUGCAUGACUAGCAUGCAGGAUGUCCUGGGUUCAAUCCCCAGUACCUCCA
rfam:Camelus ferus unplaced genomic scaffold scaffold313, whole genome shotgun sequence.